rnacentral:rRNA from 1 species
AACGAACGCUGGCGGCAUGCCUAACACAUGCAAGUCGAACGAGACCUUCGGGUCUAGUGGCGCACGGGUGCGUAACGCGUGGGAAUCUGCCCUUGGGUUCGGAAUAACAGCGAGAAAUUGCUGCUAAUACCGGAUGAUGACGUAAGUCCAAAGAUUUAUCGCCCAAGGAUGAGCCCGCGUAGGAUUAGCUAGUUGGUGAGGUAAAGGCUCACCAAGGCGACGAUCCUUAGCUGGUCUGAGAGGAUGAUCAGCCACACUGGGACUGAGACACGGCCCAGACUCCUACGGGAGGCAGCAGUGGGGAAUAUUGGACAAAUGGGGCGAAAGGACCUGAUCCAGCAAUGCCGCGUGAGUGAUGAA